UAACGUAUUGAAGUAAAAUAUAACCGAUAGCCUCAGAGACCAAAACAUUCUUUCGGAGUUCUACAAAUAAGGGCUUUGAAGGACUUUCGCUCGAAGGAAAAUAAAUGUUUAAACGGAGGGCAUUUGAUUCUGCAUGUCCAGAAAAAGUAGCAAAAUUUUCAGCCAAUGGCCCAUUCUGGCUACUGUUUUCUUUAUGUUCAAGUAAUGCACGAAGAGCAGAUGUAGGAGCCUUUGCGUUCGAAACAGAUCUUGCUUUAUUGACUGUAUUGUGUGUUCCGCGUUGCUUACCAGGAAAAAGAGCAUCAACCGCAACAACUGCAUCAGCUUCAGUGUCAGUUAAGGAAGAAUUCAUUGGAAAAGUAAGAGGAAUUUCUCCUUGACUUAAAUGAAAUGAUUCCUCAGAAAUCGACCGUAGAUCAUCAUAAUCCGUAGAAACACUGCUUUGCUGGUUUAUGGAAGACUGUUUGGACGAGGUUAAAUUCACUGCCUGCGAGGAUUCUACCAUGUUGGUAAGCUUAAGAUUUGCGAUAGCAUCAAUAUUAUUUAAUGUGGAAAUUUUGGGGUCCAGUCUUUCCUCUUCUUUUAUACUUGCAACAUCCUUCUGCAUUGGGACUUUGCUAAAAGAAAAUAUACACGAGUUAUCGUCAUCACCCACAUCUGAAGAUUCGGAUAAGUCAGAAGUAGCAUAAUCAGAAUCUUCAGCUCGAGAAUGAUUAACUUGACCCCCAGCACCAUUUACUUGUUUAGUAUCACUCGGCUUUCGGACAUUGGAUACAGUGUCAUUAGCGACAAUCGGGGGACUUGAAGAAAACGAAGUUUUAGAAUAAUCAUAAUCAUGAAUCAACAAGUCUUGCAAUGAUUUGUCCAAUUCCCAUUCCGGGGCCUCAGUAGAUAUAACUCGAUUUUCGAUUGAGUCAGGAAGUAUAUGAGAAUAUUGCAUUCGCAAAAAUGUUAACAAAAGACUGUAAAAUAAACGUA